UACGUAGGGUGCGAGCGUUAAUCGGAAUUACUGGGCGUAAAGCGUGCGUAGGCGGUUCUGAAAGUCAGUUGUGAAAGCCCCGGGCUUAACCUGGGAAUGGCGGUUGAAACUACAGGACUUGAAUCUGGCAGAGGGGGGUGGAAUUCCACGUGUAGCAGUGAAAUGCGUAGAGAUGUGGAGGAACACCGAUGGCGAAGGCAGCCCCCUGGGCUGA
rnacentral:rRNA from 1 species